CCUACGGGAGGCAGCAGUGAGGAAUAUUGGUCAAUGGGCGAGAGCCUGAACCAGCCAAGUCGCGUGCGGGAGUACUGCCCUAUGGGUUGUAAACCUCUUUUGUCGGGGAGCAAAAGCCGGACGUGUCCGGCUGUGAGAGUACCCGAAGAAAAAGCAUCGGCUAACUCCGUGCCAGCAGCCGCGGUAAUACGGAGGAUGCGAGCGUUAUCCGGAUUUAUUGGGUUUAAAGGGUGCGCAGGCGGAUUUUUAAGUCAGCGGUAAAAUCGUGGGGGUAAACCCCAUACAGCCGUUGAUACUGGGGAUCUAGAGUGUGCGAGAGGUAUGCGGAAUGCGUGGUGUAGCGGUGAAAUGCAUAGAGAUCACGCAGAACCCCGAUUGCGAAGGCAGCAUACCGGUGCACAACUGACGCUCAGGCACGAAAGCGUGGGUAUCGAACAGGAUUAGAUACCCGGGUAGUC
rnacentral:rRNA from 1 species